UUUCAGCCUCAGUCAUCUCUCCGAUGUGCGUUUUUAAACUUGAUCCUACAAGCAGGUCUGCAAAGAGAUAUUGUUUCACUCAGUGCUUGAGAAGAAGUGAGAGUUGCGCCAGGAGAAUGCGCUGAGGUCAACGGGGUCGUCAACGGGGUCGUCAACGGGACCUGUUCUGAGGCAGUGGACCACAUCAAGACGGCCGUGAUGACAGAGCUGUGGCGGAUCCCAGAAGAAUGCUUCCAGAGUCGCAAGGAGCUGGAGCCUGUACAAGCUGACUUGGGCUAAAAGGAGGACUACACACUGGUCGCCUGUCAACCAUUGGGUACACAUACAACCAGAGUUCACCAGAGGUUCAUUCGUGCCCAGCAGAGGAGUGCCAAAGUCAGCCUGCCAUAUUCUGGACUCAUGAAGUUCAGCCCCCAAGAGGAGGAAAUGUUCUGUCCUCGCCUUGGUGGUUGCAUGCGUAUGCACACUGAGAGUAUUUAGUAUGCUUAACUGCUUUGGUGUGCAGCGUUUAAAAACACGAUGAGAUCAUCAUCAUUAGUGGUCUCUUUGGCUGAGGCAUGGAAAACUGUGACAGCGUUGGUCACGUAAAUGGAGGGAGAUAUUCUUGCCACUUGUACCAUUCAGCAUGUCAAACAGACGUGAAAAAGCAGUGCACCAGACCACAAAACGUCAGUGUUUUCAGGACUGUUUUGUUUGCAUGAGCAAACCUCAAACCCACAAUAUGAUUGACCUUACCUGACCUUUGGA